rnacentral:rRNA from 1 species
GCAGAGCAUCCUACGGGAGGCAGCAGUGGGGAAUAUUGCACAAUGGGCGCAAGCCUGAUGCAGCCAUGCCGCGUGUAUGAAGAAGGCCUUCGGGUUGUAAAGUACUUUCAGCAGUGAGGAAAGUGGGUAUGUUAAUAGCAUAUUCAUUUGACGUUAGCUGCAGAAGAAGCACCGGCUAACUCCGUGCCAGCAGCCGCGGUAAUACGGAGGGUGCGAGCGUUAAUCGGAAUUACUGGGCGUAAAGCGCAUGCAGGUGGUUUGUUAAGUCAGAUGUGAAAGCCCGGGGCUCAACCUCGGAAUUGCAUUUGAAACUGGCAAACUAGAGUACUGUAGAGGGGGUAGAAUUUCAGGUGUAGCGGUGAAAUGCGUAGAGAUCUGAAGGAAUACCGGUGGCGAAGGCGGCCCCCUGGACAGAUACUGACACUCAGAUGCGAAAGCGUGGGGAGCAAACAGGAUUAGAUACCCUGGUAG